rnacentral:rRNA from 1 species
GAUGAACGCUAGCUACAGGCUUAACACAUGCAAGUCGAGGGGCAGCAUCAUCAAAGCUUGCUUUGAUGGAUGGCGACCGGCGCACGGGUGAGUAACACGUAUCCAACCUGCCGACAACACUGGGAUAGCCUUUCGAAAGAAAGAUUAAUACCGGAUGGUAUAGUUUUCCCGCAUGGGAUGAUUAUUAAAGAAUUUCGGUUGUCGAUGGGGAUGCGUUCCAUUAGGCAGUUGGCGGGGUAACGGCCCACCAAACCUACGAUGGAUAGGGGUUCUGAGAGGAAGGUCCCCCACAUUGGAACUGAGACACGGUCCAAACUCCUACGGGAGGCAGCAGUGAGGAAUAUUGGUCAAUGGACGAGAGUCUGAACCAGCCAAGUAGCGUGAAGGAUGACUGCCCUAUGGGUUGUAAACUUCUCUUAUACGGGAAUAAAGUGAGCCACGUGUGGUUUUUUGUAUGUACCGUAUGAAUA